rnacentral:rRNA from 1 species
GACGAACCGUCCUAACGUUGUUCGGAAUCACUGGGCUUAAAGGGCGCGUAGGCGGGUGGCAAAGUCAGGGGUGAAAUCUUUCGGCUUAACCGGAAAAGUGCCCCUGAUACUGGCCGUCUAGAGGGAGGUAGGGGUCUGUGGAACUUCUGGUGGAGCGGUGAAAUGCGCAGAUAUCAGGAGGAACACCGAUGGCGAAGGCAGGUCUCUGGGCCGAUACUGACGCUGAGGAGCGAAAGCGUGGGGAGCGAACGGG